CCCAUGUUAUUUUGCUUCAAGAAGUGCACCAUUCAUACUUUAUUAUAUUUCAAAUCAAAGAAUUUGAUAAAGAAAAUCUUGGAAGGAGAGAAAAUGAGGGAAAAUUUUCAGAUUUGAGAGGAAAGAGAAAAAGUAGAAUAGCAGUAAUUAACAGGAUCCAUCAUGAGUUUUGCUGACUUUUGUCAGAUACAAGGAGAGAUUCUUUGCUUAAAAAUUGAGCUGCUGCUACAACGUCUCCAAAUGUACUGUUUUAGCAUCUCAACGGCUCAUAUUCAAAAUGCGGUAAAAGAUAGAGCACUAUGAGUCAUGUGACUGACCAAAAAGAGGCAUAGGAUGCUCAAAUAAAGGCUGGAAGACCUAAUAAUGUCGUGGCCCGUGGGAGCCACCACGCAUGCUAAUCAGAGGAUAAGAACCGAAAGGCUUUUUAAGUCAAGAGUCAGAGAUGCCCUUGUAGCCCUCUAUUUAAACGAGAAGCAAGAUGAGCCCCCCUCAUCUAGGGUUUCAAGGGCGGCAGCCGUGUAGGAGAAAGUAAAGGGAGAGUGAGAGAAUGGGGAGCGUCUGGAUUGGGGGCCGGUGGAAAGGGUCCCUAAACAUUUGAAGAUGUGUGAAGAUACCUUUCCCAGACCCCCAAUACCAAAGGCUUCCCACCUUCCCAUCCCUUCCUUCUCUCUGCAUCUCUGGAUCCACGCUUCUUAUCUGUCUCACAUGCUGGUAGACAAAAAAUGUUUUCGUUGUUGAAACGACUUAAAGCUUUGUCGGUGGAGUCAUGAGGAGGCUUAAGGAAGAACAUAAUCCCUACAAUGCUCUUCAAGUAACUUGACAUCUUCAAUUGCAGACUUGGUUGGUUAUUGUAGAAAAUUUGGUGAAAAUGAUUUGUAGCAAUGAAAUAACCUAUGUUCUUUGGAUAUGCUUUAUUCUCUUCACCGAAAGCAUUUUUUGUCUACCAGUAUGUGAGACUACAGUUAAUGAAAUCUUUAACCAGUUUUCUGAUUUCAUCAUUGUCUACAUUGAUGAUGUUUUGGUAUACUCUAUCUCUGUUGAGCAACAUUGGAAGCACCUCAACAAGUUUGUUCAGACUGUUACAAGUAAUGGUUUAAGCUUGUCAGACACUAAGAUUAACCUAUUUCAAACUAAGAUUAGAUUCUUAGAUCAUCAUAUCUACCAAGGAACCAUUACCCCAAUUCACUUUUAGAUAAGGAAAUUUUAUUUGAAUUUGCCAAUCCACCUUAUGAGAGGAGUAUAAACACUUUAAAGGAUUAGGUGAUUCAAGCUAAGGAAAACCAAGUUAAUCUCUUAAAACAGGAGAUCAAUCUUGUAAAAA